rnacentral:rRNA from 1 species
GACGAACGCUGGCGGCGUGCUUAACACAUGCAAGUCGAACGGAAAGGCCCCUUUGGGGGUACUCGAGUGGCGAACGGGUGAGUAACACGUGAGUAACCUGCCCUUGACUUCGGGAUAACUUCAGGAAACUGGGGCUAAUACCGGAUAGGAAUCCUUGCUGCAUGGUGGGGGUUGGAAAGCUUCGGCGGUUUUGGAUGGACUCGCGGCUUAUCAGCUUGUUGGUGGGGUAGUGGCUUACCAAGGCUUUGACGGGUAGCCGGCCUGAGAGGGCGACCGGCCACAUUGGGACUGAGAUACGGCCCAGACUCCUACGGGAGGCAGAAGUGGGGAAUAUUGCACAAUGGGCGGAAGCCUGAUGCAGCACCGCCGCGUGCGGGAUGACGGCCUUCGGGUUGUAAACCGCUUUCAGCAGGGGCGAGGCUUGUGGUGACGGUACCUGCAGAAGAAGCACCGGCUAACUACGUG